rnacentral:rRNA from 1 species
UUCCGGUUGAUCCCGCCGGAAGCCGCUGCUAUCCGGUUGGGACUAAGCCAUGCUAGUCUAGGGGCUUGUACCCCUUCGGGGGUGCAAGCACCGGCGGACGGCUCAGUAACACGUGGACAACCUGCCCUCGGGUGGGGGAUAACCCCGGGAAACUGGGGCUAAUCCCCCAUAGGUGAUGGGUGCUGGAAUGCCCCAUCUCCGAAAGCGCUCAGCGCCCGAGGAUGGGUCUGCGGCGGAUUAGGUAGUUGGUGGGGUAACGGCCCACCAAGCCUAAGAUCCGUACGGGCUGUGGGAGCAGGAGCCCGGAGAUGGACCCUGAGACAAGGGUCCAGGCCCUACGGGGCGCAGCAGGCGCGAAACCUCCGCAAUGCGGGAAACCGCGACGGGGUUAGCCGGAGUGCCCGUGCAUUGCACGGGCUGUCGGGGUGCCUAAACAGCACCCCAUAGCAAGGGCCGGGCAAGGCCGGUGGCAGCCGCCGCGGUAAGACCGGCGGCCCGAGUGGCGGCCACUCUUAUUGGGCCUAAAGCGUCCGUAGCCGGCCCAGUAAGUCCCCCGGGAAAUCUGGUCGCUUAACGAUCAGACUUCCGGGGGAUACUGCUGGGCUAGGGACCGGGAGAGGCCGAGGGUAUUCCCGGGGUAGGGGUGAAAUCCUGUAAUCCCGGGGGGACCACCUGUGGCGAAGGCGCUCGGCUGGAACGGGUCCGACGGUGAGGGACGAAGGCCUGGGGAGCGAACCGGAUUAGAUACCCGGGUAGUCCAGGCUGUAAACGAUGCGGGCUAGGUGUCACCGGAGCUACGAGCUCCGGUGGUGCCGGAGGGAAGCCGUUAAGCCCGCCGCCUGGGAAGUACGGCCGCAAGGCUGAAACUUAAAGGAAUUGGCGGGGGAGCACUACAACGGGUGGAGCCUGCGGUUUAAUUGGAUUCAACGCCGGG